rnacentral:rRNA from 1 species
GACGAACGCUGGCGGCGUGCUUAACACAUGCAAGUCGAACGGAAAGGCCCUGCUUUUGUGGGGUGCUCGAGUGGCGAACGGGGGAGUAACACGUGAGUAACCUGCCCUUGACUUUGUGAUAACUUUAGGAAACUCGGGCUAAUACCGCAUAGGAGCUCCUGCUGCAUGGUGGGGGUUGGAAAGUUUCGGCGGUGGGGGAUGGACUCGCGGCUUAUCAGCUUGUUGGUGGGGUAGUGGCUUACCAAGGCUUUGACGGGUAGCCGGCCUGAGAGGGUGACCGGCCACCAUGGGACUGCGAUACGGACCAGACUCCUACGGGAGGCAGCAGUGGGGAAUAUUGCGCAAUGGGCGGAAGCCUGAUGCAGCAACGCCGCGUGCGGGAUGACGGCCUUCGGGUUGUAAACCGCUUUCGCCUGUGACGAAGCGUGCGUGACGGUAAUGGGUAAAGAAGCACCGGCUAACUACGUG